rnacentral:rRNA from 1 species
UACGGAGGGUGCAAGCGUUAUCCGGAUUCACUGGGUUUAAAGGGUGCGUAGGUGGGAAUGUAAGUCAGUGGUGAAAUCUCCGUGCUUAACAUGGAAACUGCCAUUGAUACUAUGUUUCUUGAAUCUUCCGGAGGUCAGCGGAAUAUGUCAUGUAGCGGUGAAAUGCUUAGAUAUGACAUAGAACACCAAUUGCGAAGGCAGCUCACUACACGAAUAUUGACACUGAGGCACGAAAGCGUGGGGAUCAAACAGG